CAGAUAUAGAGAACAAACAUAUGGAUACCAAGGAGGAAGGGGGAAUUGAUUUCUCCACCUCACGAGGAUAGUAGUGUUCCCAGCUCUUUACAUUCAUGGACUAACUUAAUAACGGCCGUCUGAGGAAGCAGAAAACGACUUGUGCUACGACUUGCUCACUCUU